UAAAUAACUGUUUAACGAUUUUCCAUUGUAAAACUGUAGAACGCAAUGCAUCAUGGGAUGCCCUACAAAUACAACUGCCACCUGUGUAUUUAACCAUAACCUACUGGGGGCAAAGAGGCAGUUCUGUUUUCCCCUGGAAAGAAGAAGUUUCCUCAGGAUUUACUGCUGUUCUUGAGCUCACCCACCUGAGGAAAACUCCAAGAACACCUGCAUUUAAGAAUUAAAGUUCUGUUCUUCGUUCAGAUGUCCAAAGUCCAACACCUGCAGACGUAUCAAGAAGUCUAAGGAAUAGCCAACCCAUCAUCAGUACACCAAGUACAUCCAGCCCAAAUGACAGAUCCAGAGUAAUAGAUCUUAGUACUUGGCUCGACAAGUUUAAGGUCCCAUGGAGCAAGAUGCCCCAAGGAAUAAAACUCUCGAUAAAUGCACAACAGCGGCCUACUCCUCGAGACCGUCGGGAGAUGAUAAGUCAUUGUAGACGAAAUAAGACUUAUUGAGCCCAAUCCUACUAGAUCAGACUGCGUUACAGUCGCCAAGAUGGUUGUUAAGGAAUAUCCAGAAAGUUUUGCAGACAUUCUAAAAGAUGGCACCAGAAUUGGAAGUGGGUUUGCUUCACUGGUGAACCAGCUAAAAACGCGAGUUGAACACCUCAACCGUAACAGUGUAAUAGGAAGGCGCAGAAGGAUGAAAGGACACUCCAGUUCACCAACUACAAACCGAGCAAAAGGGCCAUCGGACCAAUAUGGGUGCAUCAGAUGGCAACCUGAUUGUCCUCAAGGGGAAACUGAGUCAAUUCUGAAAGAGAAGCAGGAGGAAAUGAAAGAGCUUUAUGCUCGUGAGGGUCCAGCAGCAGCAGAGAGAGGGCACAUUACUCAGCUCAUGGAGAGGACCUACUACUUGCAACGAAAAACCAUCAAUGCAAGUCCAGCCCCAUCUAUUGUGGAGCUCAAAACUGGCUGGCCAUUUCUUUUUACACCAAAAGAAAUUUAUAAUCACUUUAAGCUGUUAACUGACAUCUCUAUCCUUGAAAAAAUUACUGAUGCAAUUGAGCACAGAGGGAAGAUGAUCGUUAACUUUUUUCGCCAAAAACCAACAAAUGAAGUCCAGCAAAUUCUGUCAAGGUCGAGCUAUUAAGUAAGUUUAAUCUGCAUUUAAAUAAUUACUUUUAUUAUUUGACUUCUGCUUUCAGUUUCCAAAACUUGUGGGGUUAUUUGUUAGAGUGAAUCUUAAAUUAUGUCUUUUAUAUUAGCCUAUUGUAUAUAUGUUUGUGUUUUAGGCCACAGCCACACCAGCAGAUGUGGAGGAAUCAGUUUUACCAGACUCUCCAAGAUUGAUUGUUCAAGGUACUAAAUUAGUUUACUAUUGCAACUUGGGUUGGUCAGAGACAUUUAUAUUAAUGAAUAAAUGUUUAACUAUUUAAGGUGAGACACUGACCUCAGCAAAUUGGAUGAUGAGUAUAGAAGGUCAGGUGGUCUUGUCUUCACAUCCCAACUUUGCUGCAGGCUUGGCAGCUUUGUUUGCCUCAUUCUACAACUUUAAUUUGGAAUACCAAAAAGAGGCCUCAUGCACUCUAGACUUUAUCCAAAGGUAAAUGAGUGUUAUUCAAAAAAUAGUUCCACAUUAUUUAUUUGGUUACUUAAAAGUCCAACACUUUCGCUUUGGGUGUGAUUUUGUUUAGGGGUGUGGUGUUUUUUUUUCCCCCUUUUCUUUCAGUAUAAUUCAUCCCUUUAAUUUGGUGAAUGGUUUACUUGGGUACAUUUUUCUUUCUUUUUUUUAAUGUUAGUUUAAAAAAGUUGAGCCGCAUAUUUGUUUAAAUAUGUUAAAAUGAUUAAAGCUGUAUUUGGAUUUCUAACAUGAUUGAAUGUACAUCAGUAUCACACAGUAAUCAUGAGCCAACUUCAACACACAUAAAAAAUUUCAAUAAGACCUCGCAGCCAAAACAUAUUGGUCAUGAGUCAGUCAUUUGCAUGUACUAAAUAUGAAGUCAUUUUUAAUUAACUGUAUUUUAAUUUCCUUUAGAAAUGUGCAAAAAAAGGUCAAAUGCCUCACAUUCUUGUGUAUGAUGGAAUAAAAUUUUAAUUUUAGGACUUUUUAAAAUACAUAGCCCAACAAAAACAAUUAUUUGUUUAUAUCCCACUAAACACAUAACUUAAGUAAUAUAUUAUUGUAGCAUUUUAAAAGGAUAGCACCUAAAUAAACUCAUUAUUAGUGACAAAACUGUUGCGAUUAGAAAUGUAUAUAGAGGGAAUUCAUUUGAAAAUAGAACAUUACAGAUUACAACUGCCCUAUAGACGCUGUCUUAAAAUGUUCUAAUACAGCUCUUUUUCUGACUGUGCAGAUGUUUUGUGGGAAUCAACACAACCACUGGCUCUAAGACAUCUACUGAGCAGGUCCUGAGCAAAAGAAGUGGAAAGGUAGUGGAGAAGAAAAAACACUCCAUGAAUGUCAAAGUUUGCAGCCUUCUAAGGAAAUUAAUGGACUUCGACUGGCUUUGCAUGUCGGUGUAAAUGUUGUCUUCAGCAUACUACUGCAUAAUGUGAAAAUGUUUAUUUAUCUUCAUGAUUAUUACAAAAAGACAAAAUGUCAAAUUUAUGUUUAACAUUUUUUGUAGUUUUGGUAUGUACUAGUAGAUAUGUUUGCCUAUUGACUGCGUGUAAGUUGGUUGUAAAUCUAAUAGCAUACAGUACUUGUCACAAGUUGAUGCACCUUUUCAUUCAUUUAUUUAUUUUUAUUUAUUUAUUUUUCUUACAUUGUAAUACUGAAGUCAUUCAGACCAUGAAUGAACACUUAAGUUUAGUACUUAAGUGUUCAUUCAUGGUCUGAAUGACUUCAUUUUUUAUUUUAAUGGUAUUUAUUUUAAUUGUUCAACAAAGCAAAAUAUGUAUCUCUUAUCUGGGGUGCUGUGAACUUUUGUUUUUUGGGGCUGGUAACUCUUGCAACAACCUAAAGAAUCUAAAAUCUAAAACAUAUGGUUUAUUUAACACUUUUUAUUUUUAUUGUGUUUGUUGCAGUUUAUUUUUUAUUUUUUUAUACCAAAAUACAGUGUAUUUCCUCUUUGGUUAUGUUAAUGUAAAUUAGCAGCCUGUUAUUCUUAUUGUUCCUGUGGAGUGAUUCUUCAACAGAUUUCUGUUCUUUCCUAUACUCCCCUGUGUGAUCCCAGAUUAGGAUAUAUAGAUGUAACCUGAGUUGUUCUAAUACAAAUUACUGUGAAAUUUGAAUGAAACUAAAAGUGGUACAUAUUGUGACAGACUUUUUUUAUAAUAAAUACUUGAUGGGAACAAA